rnacentral:rRNA from 1 species
UACGUAGGUGACAAGCGUUGUCCGGAUUUACUGGGCGUAAAGAGCGCGCAGGCGGUCGAUCAAGUCGAGUGUGAAAGCCCCCGGCUCAACUGGGGAGGGUCAUUCGAUACUGAUCGACUCGAAGGCAGGAGAGGGUAGUGGAAUUCCCGGUGUAGUGGUGAAAUGACGUAGAUAUCGGGAGGAACACCAGUGGCGAAGGCGACUACCUGGCCUGUUCUUGACGCUGAGGCGCGAAAGCUAGGGAGCAAACGGG